rfam:Stegodyphus mimosarum contig45753, whole genome shotgun sequence.
UUCUUCGUGGUGUAGUGGUCAGCACGCUCGACCCGUAUUCCAAAGGUCCGCGGUUCGAGUCCCGGCGAGGGCA